AGAAAUGCGUCAAGACGCUCAGACGUACUUUCAAAGAACUGAUACGUUGGCGCAUUUCUGG
rnacentral:pre_miRNA from 1 species